rnacentral:rRNA from 1 species
AACGCACAUUGCGGUCCACGGAGAUCUCUUCUGGACCACUCCUGUCUGAGGGCCCGCUGAUCUAUGAAAAUUACAUUGCAUUCCAGUCAAUUUGGCAGGAAUGCUAUUGACAGUUCUGCCUAAGCUAUAUUCGGCAAGUCUGUCUAAAUAUUGACCAAUCGCGUGAAGUGUACCGGCACAUCGCUGCAAACACUCGACUCGUUAAAGAUUGAAUGAUGCUACCGAAUAGUGCUUGUACCUCUCGAACGAAUUCUGCAACCAAAAAGUUGAAAGAGUUCCCAUAAGGUUGGCCUCAGAUUAGGAGGGAUUACCCGCUGAACUUAAGCAUA